UCUCUCGUCAGAAUUGCCCGUGUCCCAAGGCAGCCUGAGACUAUACUCAGGGAGCACAUAGGUGACCCAGGCAAGUUUCUUGUUCUGUUCUGCUCUUCCUUCCUUCUUCCUUUCUUCCUUCCUUCUUCCUUCCUUUUCUCCUUCAUUCCUUUUUUUUUUUUUUUAAAGAUUUUAGUUUUAGUAUAUUUUUUUUUUUGAGUAUUUUACUGCAUGUGUGUACAGUGUUUGCAGAGGCCAGAAGAGAACAUCAGAUCCUUUGGAACUGGAAUUGCAGAUCAUUGUGAGCCACCAUGUGGGUGUUAGGAAUCAAACCUGGGUCCCCUGAAGGAGCAGCUGAUGCUUCUAACCUCUGAGCUGUCUUUCCAGUGCCAUGUUUCUGUCCCCUUAAGUUCUUAGCACAGGCGCACCAUUGAUAAGUAUCUCUGAGAUGGUGGCACUUGACAGCAUUUACGGGUUCUAGAGAUGAGGACACUAACCUGUCUUCUGAGGGCCACCAUCCCGUCCAUUGCAGCCUUUGUUCCUUAUGAGUGCUUCCAAUAUGCUCAGGCUAGGAUGAAGGACAGUGCUUAGAGAGGAGAGCAGGUCUCUCAGUAGCCUUCAGGUCACCAAGGAUCAACAGAGUCAGUGGUUAGAGUGAGCUUGCAUGCACAGUCUGUGGUCAGGCUACAUGGAUGUCCAGGUUUCUGGGAUAGGGGCAGUGGCAUGACAGGGAGCCAAGCCUAGGAUACCUUGGCAGAGACACAUGCUUUGUGACCAGAGGACAGGGCAUCACUAUAAGGAGUGAGAAGGAUGUUGGUGACGGUCCUAAAGGCACAGAGUGACUGCCCAAGAGCCAAGAGAGUCUUGGUACAGUGUGGGGCAGGUCCUCCUGGAGGGAAAAUGGCCAGAGCACUGCCACCUGGAGGAACUGAGCUAGACAGGACUCACAGGACAUGAUUCAGGCUGAGCAGCAAAGAUAGCUUGACAGAGGAAGGCUGGACCCCGGGUAGACCUUGUCUUGGAUACACUGAAGCUUCCCCUGGUUUUCAGUGAGGGGCUUCCUUAGCACUUCCCGGAGGGCACUCUGACUUAUGAGACUGGUGUCAAGCAGCCAGUUGUUGGGACGGUGCUCCACUGCCCAGCCGAGGUAAUGGGUUGUUAGCAGAUAGGGUUAAGCUCUUUGCCAUGGGACCCUGGGGGUCAGUGAGGUGGGCAUGGUGCCACUGCACUGGGUGGUCAGGAAGCAAGGCCCUGUCCUAACUACCUGGUUCACCUUGUCCUUACAGGCUACCAGCAGGCCAGUCAAAUUCCCCAGCAUCUCCAGAAGCCCCGCGUCCCCUGCCAGCUCUGGGAGCUUUAACCACUCGCCUCACUCCUCAGGGGGUGCCAGUGGCAUUGGUGGCAUGAGCAGGCUGGGUGGUGAGCUGCAUAGCCGCUCAGGUAAGCAGCCACAGGCCACUGGGAAAUGGGUCAGUCCUUGGCCCACCACCUCCGUCCCCUGCUCCAUCCGUACACAGCACCAGGAACGACUGUAUGCCGCCCACUUCUUGGUGCCACUGGGGAUAUUUAGUGAGCUGUCCACUCAGAGUUUAUCUUUACUCAUUUUCCCGAGGUGAAGCUGGACGGAGGAGGAAGAGGUCAGGUCCAUAGUGCUUUUCUUGUUUCUUAUAAAAUGUUAUAAGAAAUGGAGAAAGAUGCAAAGGGGUUUCAUGACACACGCACUUACCGAGGACUGAGCCUCAGGAAAUUCCUAUUCUGUCACCCAUUUGAACAGACUAGGAUUCCGAAACUCCAGCUGGGCAAGAGAUGUGCCCAGGCUUACCCAGCAGGCUGGAGGCAAGGAAAUGUCAAAGCAGGGACUCCCACAAUUCUAGGCCACAGCGUACUUAUAGGUGCUCUCAAAGAUCUCAAGAACGAGCCAAAGACAGCCCUCUGAGAGGGACACACCCACCGCAUGCCACUGUGUAAGGCUUACAUGCAUCAGGG
rnacentral:lncRNA from 1 species